rnacentral:rRNA from 1 species
CCUUCUCAAAUACUUGUAUUUGGUUGUGAGUGACACUCAGUCUAUGCAUUGAGUUAACUUGAAAUUGUUGGCCGUAGCGGUUGUUGCAGCUUUAGUUUAUUUCUGUGAUGGUAUGUUUCUUUACUAUUAAACAGGAUGCUGAGCAUGUCGUAUUAGGUUUUACCAACUCCGGCAGACUCUGGUGUUCUUGGAAGAGCGUACUUGCGGUUGACGGAAACUGUGCUUCUGUGGCAAACAGUACUCUUUAAGU